GCAGGGAAUCUUGCGCAAUGGGCGAAAGCCUGACGCAGCGACACCGCGUGGGGGAAGACGGCCCUAGGGUUGUAAACCCCUUUUCUCGGGGACGAGAACGGACGGUACCCGAGGAAUAAGCCUCGGCUAACUACGUGCCAGCAGCCGCGGUAAUACGUAGGAGGCGAGCGUUGUCCGGAUUUACUGGGCGUAAAGGGCGAGUAGGCGGCCCGGCAAGUCUCAUGUGAAAUCUUCCGGCUCAACUGGAAGCGGUCAUGGGAAACUGCCAGGCUUGAGGGCAGCAGAGGAAAGUGGAAUUCCCGGAGUAGUGGUGAAAUGCGUAGAUACCGGGAGGAACACCAGUGGCGGAGGCGGCUUUCUGGGCUGUACCUGACGCUGAGGCGCGAAAGCAUGGGGAGCAAACCGG
rnacentral:rRNA from 1 species